rnacentral:miRNA from 1 species
UCAGGGGUGUGUGUGUGUGUGUGUGUGUGUGUGUAUACAUACAUACACAUCACACACACACACACACACACACACACACACAGCCCUGC